rnacentral:rRNA from 1 species
UACGACUACAUAUCAGGCAUAUCAAUAAGCGGAGGAAAAGAAACUAACUAGGAUUCCCUUAGUAACGGCGAGUGAAGCGGGAAGAGCUCAAAUUUGAAAUCUUCAAGGUUUCACCUUGACGAAUUGUAGUUUAAAGAGGUGUUUUCUGUUGAAGUUUCGGUAAAAGUUCUUUGGAAUAGGACAUCAUAGAGGGUGAGAAUCCCGUAUUUGACCGUUAUUUUCAGCUGUGUGAUACACUUUCAAAGAGUCGGAUUGUUUGGGAUGCAGUUCAAAGUGGGUGGUAAAUUUCAUCUAAAGCUAAAUAUUGGCGAGAGACCGAUAGCGAACAAGUACCGUGAGGGAAAGAUGAAAAGAACUUUGAAAAGAGAGUUAAACAGUACGUGAAAUUGUCAAAAGGGAAGCGUUUGACACCAGUGUUGUUUUUCCGAAAAUCAAUUACGAAUGUUUUGUUUUUGAGGAGUUAUGACUUCAUCGGCUUGCUUCUUUCUUUACGAAACUUUCUUAAUGCACUUUUCGGUUAACAAGUCAACAUCAAUUUCUUUUGUUGUAAAAGGGUAUGAGGAAGGUGGCUUUCUUUUCGGAGAAAGUGUUUAUAGCCUUGUAGCCUCUGCAAUCGGAGAGAUUGAGGUCUGCAGCGUAGAUCCUUCGGGGUUAGAUACAUUUGUGCUAAGUUAUAGCUUUUCAUAGACAACUUGUUGACUAUGUUUAGUCUUGUAGCUUACUCGCUUAUGCCUAUUUUACCUACGCUUAGGAUGUUGAACGCGCACAGAGUCUC